UUGCACGCUCCCCCUCCGCACCAACCCUUCGGGUCGGCAGCACUUCACCAGAACUCGCAGCCCUCCGUCCCACCUACGACCCCGAAAGCUCCCGAGCCCAUGCCCAUGCCCCUGCCCCGUAGGGGAGGGGAACAGCGCCUGGCCGGCGCCCGUGUGGUCCGCACUAGCCUCCCGCGGGCGACGCCCCGCUCCCCAAGGCGUGUCGGCCGCGGGGCCCCACUGUUGAGCCAUGCGCAACGUCUCACCCGGCGGCGCCAUUCCUCCGAGCAGGUCCCACCGGAGCCAGAGCAGGCAGACUUCCGCUCUGGGAAGUGGCUCCAAGAGCGCGCCGGAGGGGACGCCAGGGACCCACAGCACACGCCGCCUGCCAGGAUGGGCUCCCGGCAAAGGGUCGGUGGUACAGGAGUAGUGAUCCCUUAUGCUUCUGACAGUGACUCUGGAAGUGUAGAUCUACAGCUGAGCAACUUAGAAGACAUUCAAAAAGAUGUAACUAAUGUUGAAUUUACAGAUUCGGACAUCUCUGACAUCCCUGAACUCACUCAGGAGUCCCUUCCAGACAACCUCAGACCCCUCAAUCUCCAGCCACCCCUCAAUGAGGCCAGUGUUGAGAGGCUGGUCCAGUCCAUACAGGAGGUUUUACGUGGUGAGCUAAAGGGUGAACCUGAAAAGUUGAAGUUCCUAAGAUCUUUGUCUUCUUUGAGCCAAACCUUAGCUUAUGACGAAAGCACAGAGUCCUUUAUCCACCGUCACAUGGCAGAGAUAGUGCAUGUCCUAAGUGUGCUGGUACAAGAGGAGCCUCUGUACUCUCUGUCCAGCCUGGUGCGCCAGGAGCUCUUUGUCACCAUCACUGACCUCAGUUACCAAGAUGUGCACCUGUUGUUCGGCUCCGAGGACCGAGAAGACUUGCUUGGUCUUAUCACCAGAAGUAUACUCUCUCUGCCUGUUGUAAACACCUGUACCCAGCUGCCAAGCACAGUGCCAAAGCAGACCAGCCACCCAGAGUGUCUCUACAGACAGACGUUCCAGGCCUUCUCUGUGAUGCUGCAGAGUCUAGUGGUAAAAGACCCACAUUUGGAAAAUUUUGACAGCAUUUUUAAGCAAAUGGACCCCUGGUUACAGUCAAACAAAGACCAUGAGCGAGAACGAGCUACAACCAUCAUGGCCCAAGUCCUCAAGUGUUUAUCCUGUUAUCUCCACCUGAAGCUUCCACUGCAGUUCCAAAGGCUUGGACAUCUAGUGGCUGUGAUGGCACUGCUAUGUGGGGACCCAGUGAAAGAGGUGGCUGAAGACGCUGCAGAGGGGACCCAUUACCUGCUUCACAUCACUCUGAAGCUAAAGUAUAUCACUCAGGACAGACACAAUGCCAAGAGCUUGAGAGAAAUUUUGAAAAAGUGCAGGGAGCUGCUGGAGCACUAUAGCAUCAAACAGUUCUACUCCUGUCCCUUCAAGAUUGUCCAGGUCUUUGAAGUUUUCCUUGAUUCACAAGAGCUCGGCCAGUUUAUAAUGACUACGUUGGACAGCCUGAAAAGCCUACCCCAUCCCUGUACCCAGCAGAUAGCAGGAGAGUUGUUGAUAACUUUGGUGAGGUUUGCAGAGGCCCGAUUUGAGAAGGUGCCAGAAAUAAUAGGUGUUAUUUGUGCCCGGCUAUCAAUAAUCACCCUGCCUACUGUCCGGCAACAAAUCAUAAAUACUGUGAGUUUGUUUAUCUCCAGACCUAAGUAUACAGACAUAGUGCUCAACCAUCUUCUAUGCCAUCCAGUGCCCUAUGACAGGCAUCUGGCUGAAUUGUGGAGAACCCUGGAGGUAGAGCUGUCCAACACGACCUGGGUCCUCUGGAGGCUCCUGAGAAGGCUGCAGAAAUGCCAUGAUGUGGCCACCCAGGAGAAGAUGGCCUAUGUGGCUGUUGCUGUAACAGAUGCCCUUUAUGAGGUGCUUUUGGGAAACAAAUUUCGAGCAGCUGCAUUCCGACUCUUUCCUCAGCUUUUGAUGACACUGCUCAUCCAGAUUCACCACAGCAUCGGCCUCACCAUGUCUGAUGUCAACAUUCCAAGUGGCCUGUAUGCAGAACAGGGGAUACCAAUGGAGGUCUCACCUUUGUGCUUCGCCAUGCAAGCUACAAAGACUCUCCUCCUCAGAACAUCAUGCUGGCAGGAAUUCAGCAUCAUGGAAAAGAAUAAUGGAUGGACUCUUCUGAAGGGAGAAUGCCAUCUUCAGGGAGUAUUCCUCCUUGCCAAUUCCUUGCUGGAAAGAAGUCACUUCUUUGCAUAUAAGAUCAUGUACUUGUUAGUCCCUUUGAUUAACCGAGGGAAUGAUAAACACAGACUCACAUCUGCAGGCUUUUUUGUAGAGCUCUUAAAGAGUCCAAUGGCCAGGAGAUUGCCCAGGUUAUACUCCACUGCCCGCCUGAAAGACUGGCUGUAUGAAGAGAAUAAGCUCUUCAGGAUUCUUGCACUGAGGGGACUACACAAUCUUGUCAGACACCGUGAGAUGAGAGAAGACAUCAAAGGCGCAAUACCAUGCAUCUUAGAUAGCUUACAGGAGACUGAUGAGAGGAUCGUUCUGUUGGCCAUCCAGAUACUGAUGAAGCUUGUCAAGACACUAGACUCUACCACCUUGGCUACCCUGAUGAAGAUCCUGUUCUCCUUAUUUGGUGAUGUGAGACAUGGCAUCCAUCGUUUCUCCAUGACUCUCUUUGGAGCCUCCAUAAAGGCUGUGAGACACACAGAUAAGAAGUGUGUGGAGAGCCACGUCCUGGAGAGCUUGGUCCCACUGCUUCUGUUUUCUCAGGACGACAGUGAUGAAAUAGCUAAGGAGAGUAGACAAGUGCUAACUAUAUGUGCCCAGUUCCUGAAAUGGAAGCUGCCCCGAGAAGUGUACUGCAAAGAUCCCCUAUACAUCAAACCACAUGAAGUCAGAAGGGUCUGCAAAUUCUUUGGAGAAAAAAGCAAGGGGAAAAUAAACAUCCUAGACCAAACACUAAUGUAUUCCAAGGAUCCAAAACUUCCCAUCAGAAGAACAGCUGUCUUGUUUAUAGGGAUCUUAUCAAAGUAUGUGGAUCCCAGUGAGCUCAAGAUGAAGGGUAUUGACUGGAUAGAGAACGAUCUGAGAGAACUGUUACACGACCCUGAGCCCUCUUUGCGGAUCAUCGCCUCCCAGGCUCUGUUCCGAAUCCAGAGGGUGUGGAAUGAGUCAGAAUCCCAGAUAAGAGUUUCCUGGUUGAGGAAGCUCUGUGGCUGUCUUCAUACUUAGAAUGCAAAGCACAUGACAGCAGAUGGAGAGAAACUGAGGAGACAAACAUGAAAUUAAAAUUCAUAGAAGUACACGCUGAGAGACAAAGGACUGCUGAUUCCUGAACUACCUCAGAAGGUGGGAACUUUUAUAAGUGCCUCCUAGUGAUAAUAAUAGUGAUAAUACUAACACGUGUAUUAAAUCUUGAUAGCUCUGUUAUUUUUAUAUAAAGCUGUCCUUAGAAACAGGUUAAUGUUUUUAUUGAUUUUUUUAAAAAAUGUAUGAAACAAAAAGGUCUAGG